rnacentral:rRNA from 1 species
AACGAACGCUGGCGGCAUGCCUAACACAUGCAAGUCGAACGAUACCUUCGGGUCUAGUGGCGCACGGGUGCGUAACGCGUUGGAACCUGCCCUUAGGUUCGGAAUAACUCCCCGAAAGGGGUGCUAAUACCGGAUAAUGUCUUCGGACCAAAGAUUUAUCGCCUUUGGAUGGGCCCGCGUUGGAUUAGCUAGUUGGUAGGGUAAAAGCCUACCAAGGCGACGAUCCAUAGCUGGUCUGAGAGGAUGAUCAGCCACACUGGGACUGAGACACGGCCCAGACUCCUACGGGAGGCAGAAGGGGGGAAUAUUGGACGAUGGGCGAAAGCCUGAGCCAGCAAGGCCGCGUGAGUGAUGAAGGCCUUAGGGUUGUAAAGCGCUUUUACCCGGGAUGAUAAUGACAGUACCGGGAGAAUAAGCGCCGGCUAACUCCGUG